ACGUAGGGAGCAAGCGUUGUCCGGAUUUACUGGGUGUAAAGGGUGCGUAGGCGGCUAGGCAAGUCAGAAGUGAAAUCCAUGGGCUUAACCCAUGAACUGCUUUUGAAACUGCUUAGCUUGAGUGAAGUAGAGGUAGGCGGAAUUCCCGGUGUAGCGGUGAAAUGCGUAGAGAUCGGGAGGAACACCAGUGGCGAAGGCGGCCUACUGGGCUUUAACUGACGCUGAGGCACGAAAGCAUGGGUAGCAAACAG
rnacentral:rRNA from 1 species